AUAAUUUGAUAAAAUAUUUAUGUGAAAAUUUUUUCUAUUUUUAUUAAAGGUUAUAUAAGUGAUAAAAGAUUUUCAGUAUCGCAGUUUACUUAAUUUUAACAAAGCAUAUGACACCGACCGUUCCUAGCGCAAGUGACAAAAGGCUUGGUGGUUGAUACUCGAGAUUCCAAAUUCGAAUUCUAGUUGAAGUGGCAAAGGGCUUGUUGGUUAGUAUCUGAAAUUUCAAGUUCGAAUCCUAGUUGAUUUACAUUUCUAAUUAAGUUUAUUUCUAAUGAAAUAAACGAGCAUAUGACUUCCGUCCGGCGGUGAUAGAUUGUGAUUAUAUUUUGAAAAAUAAUUAGAAAAAAAUUAUUG
rnacentral:lncRNA from 1 species